UACGGAGGAUCCGAGCGUUAUCCGGAUUUAUUGGGUUUAAAGGGUGCGCAGGCGGAAUAUUAAGUCGGCGGUGAAAGUUUGCAGCUUAACUGUAAAAUUGCCGUUGAUACUGGUAUUCUUGAGUGUAUAUGAAGUAGGCGGAAUUUGUAGUGUAGCGGUGAAAUGCAUAGAUAUUACAAGGAACUCCGAUUGCGAAGGCAGCUUACUAAAAUACAACUGACGCUUAGGCACGAAGGCGUGGGGAUCAAACAGGAUUAGAUACCCUGGUAGUCCCUGA
rnacentral:rRNA from 1 species